rnacentral:lncRNA from 1 species
AAUCAUAUAAUAAUUAUGAUAGUGAUAAAUAUUAUAUUAAAUUUCCUAGUUUUAUCCAUAUCUUUAGUUUUGUUACUGCUAUUUUAUAUUUGUAUGUACAUAACUAUAACUAUAUAUAUUUUUUUUUUUUUUAAGAUGUAAAGAUAAAUCCAUUAAUAGAAAAAGAUGCCAUUUUUGACGAAACUAACGAUAUGUUUAUAGAAAAUGUAGAUAAAGAAAAUAUAGAAAGCUCAAAUAUAAUUUUUGAAAACUUAUUAGGUGGGGAAUCAGAAAAAAAAAAUAAAAAUUAUCAUUAUAUCCCAACUUUAUAUUCUGAUGGAGAAUUUUUUCAGUUGAAAUCGCCAAUCCAAAGUGAUGAAAAAAAAAAGAAAAAAAAGACUCACAAAAAAAAAAAAAAAAGGGAAGGAAAAAAAACAACUGAUUCAGUUACAAAUGAUCAAAAUAAAAAUGAUACAAUAAAAGAUGACACAAUACAGGAUGACAUAAUACAGGAUGACAUAAUACAGGAUGACAUAAUACAGGAUGACAUAAUACAGGAUGACAUAAUACAGGAUGACAUAAUAAAAGAUGAGGAAAAAAAAGAAAAAUACGUAGAAAAUGAAACGAAAAAGGAAAUCUCAAAAAAUGAAGUUAUAAAUAAUAAAAAUAUAACUGAAAUUAAAGAUAAUCUUCCAUACAUAAGUAGUAAAAAAGCAAAUAAAUAUAAUAAAACUGUGAACAAUACGAUUGAUAAUACUCUCAAACAAUUGAAUAAUGAUAAUACUAUUACAGUUCGUAAUUCAACUGAUUUAAAGAAGAAUGAUAGUAAUGUAAAUGAUGUAGGUGAUAAUGUUCGUAAUAGUGACGACAUCAGUGACAAUAGGAAUGAGAUAAAUUUCAAAAAAAUAUCACACAUAAAUACUUGUAUUAAUAUGAAAAUAAAUUAUAUAUCAGACAGCUGUGAAAAGUUUAUAAAAAUAGGUGAUAAAAACAAAAAAAAAAAUGGAAUUAUAAAAAUGCCAAAAAUUAAAUUAACGCCCGAUAAUAUGCCUUUUUCAAGUGAAGAAGGCGGAGCAGAAUGGCGUGAUUAUAUUUUUAAUAAUAA